rnacentral:rRNA from 1 species
UCAUAUCAAUAAGCGGAGGAAAAGAAACCAACAGGGAUUGCCUCAGUAACGGCGAGUGAAGCGGCAAAAGCUCAGAUUUGAAAUCUGGCGUCUUCGGCGUCCGAGUUGUAAUCUGUAGAGGAUGCCUUUGGGUGGCCACCGGUCUAAGUCCCCUGGAACGGGGUGUCACAGAGGGUGAGAAUCCCGUAUGUGACCGGGAAGGCGCCCUAUACAUGGCUCCUUCGACGAGUCGAGUUGUUUGGGAAUGCAGCUCUAAAUGGGAGGUAAAUUCCUUCUAAAGCUAAAUACCGGCCAGAGACCGAUAGCGCACAAGUAGAGUGAUCGAAAGAUGAAAAGCACUUUGGAAAGAGAGUUAAAAAGCACGUGAAAUUGUUGAAAGGGAAGCGCUUGCAACCAGACUUGUUGGCGGUGUUCCGCCGGUCUUCUGACCGGUCUACUCACCGUCUGCAGGCCAGCAUCAUCUGGGGCCGCUGGAUAAAAGCGGAGGGAAUGUGGCUCCUCCGGGAGUGUUAUAGCCCUCUGUGUAAUACAGCGAGUCCCGGGUGAGGUCCGCGCUUCGGCUAGGAUGCUGGCGUAAUGGUCGUAAGCGGCCCGUCUUGAAACACGGACCAAGGAGUCUAACAUCUAUGCGAGUGUUCGGGUGUCAAACCCCUACGCGUAAUGAAAGUGAACGGAGGUGGGAACCUUUUAGGUGCACCAUCGACCGAUCCUGAUGUCUUCGGAUGGAUUUGAGUAAGAGCAUAGCUGUUGGGACCCGAAAGAUGGUGAACUAUGCCUGGAUAGGGUGAAGCCAGAGGAAACUCUGGUGGAGGCUCGCAGCGGUUCUGACGUGCAAAUCGAUCGUCAAAUUUGGGUAUAGGGGCGAAAGACUAAUCGAACCAUCUAGUAGCUGGUUCCUGCCGAA